rnacentral:rRNA from 1 species
GAUGCAAGCGGCCCGCCGCUUACGAUAUCACGAGAAGUCCACUGAACCUAAUCAUUUAGAGGAAGGAGAAGUCGUAACAAGGUUUCCAUAGGUGAACCUGCGGAAGGAUCAUUG